CAUUGUCAAAGGAUGUAAGAUACGACCUUCUUAGUUCUCCAGAGAAAACGCAUGGAUCUAGCAUUAUUGUGUCAAGGUCGCAAGAAGAGCUAACUGAUGAACCAAGGACAACCAGCGUAAUACAGAAAUUGUACAAAGAAGGGCCUGUUUUCCUGAUCAAGUAUGCCGACGGAUCAGGUGGUGUUUUUUAUCCUUCUGGGAAUCCAGCCAUCGUAAUAACCCCAGCAGAAUAUCCUCACUUCAUUUAUGUGAUCCUUGAGGACAAGGACAAGAAGCCCAGAAUGAUAGGCAUUUUCACACCUAAAGGCUGCGCUACGUGCUACCGUUCCAAUGGAUUGAUAUGGUUGAACAUAACCUCUAGUGGAGGUUUCUGCUUCGGGGAGACGGGCGAGUUGAGGAGGCGUUGGAACUGGCUGUAUUUUGACCCACAUGUGCACAACCUUCCAUUCAAGCCCCUCAUCUUCGCCAUGGGGCCAUGCAUCUCUAUCCACAUACAUUCACAAGAGUGUGUGUAUGUUAACUUCAUGUACAAGGAAAACCAUGUGCGUUUCAGCGUUGGCUCGGAGCUCGAGCUCACUUGCCCAGAAAGCCAUGCACAGCUAGGCCAAAGCAUUUUGGAGAGAGAAAUCCAAAUGCAGAAGACAAGGAUUUACUGUCUGCUUGACCAGAUGCAAACCUGCAUGUCCCACCCGUUGGCAAACAUGCAGAACAUAAAGCCACAUUACCGUUUCAUCGCCCGGCUGGAGAAGCUUACCAAGCAAGUGGAAAAAAAGAAGGCACUUCAAAACACACAGCCCAGUGCAAAUUAAAGGAGCAAUACUAAA